UAGGGAAUCUUCGGCAAUGGACGAAAGUCUGACCGAGCAACGCCGCGUGAGUGAAGAAGGUUUUCGGAUCGUAAAACUCUGUUGGUAGAGAAGAACGUUGGUGAGAGUGGAAAGCUCAUCAAGUGACGGUAACUACCCAGAAAGGGACGGCUAACUACGUGCCAGCAGCCGCGGUAAUACGUAGGUCCCGAGCGUUGUCCGGAUUUAUUGGGCGUAAAGCGAGCGCAGGUGGUUUAUUAAGUCUGGUGUAAAAGGCAGUGGCUCAACCAUUG
rnacentral:rRNA from 1 species